AAAUAACGAACUGAAGUAACUAACUCAAUGACUUGAACUGAACAGAAACCAACAAAACUAAUCCAAUAAAAUAAUAGGCUGAAACAAAUGGCUGGAGUUAUUUUAUACCGAAUGAGCUCAGAAAUACACAUUGCCACACAGGCAAGUCAAAAUAAUGCCACACAGGCAAGUCAAAUGAUGCCACACAGGCAACCAAAAU
rnacentral:lncRNA from 1 species